rnacentral:rRNA from 1 species
AUUGAACGCUGGCGGCAGGCCUAACACAUGCAAGUCGAGCGGCAGCGGGAAGUAGCUUGCUACUUUGCCGGCGAGCGGCGGACGGGUGAGUAAUGUCUGGGAAACUGCCUGAUGGAGGGGGAUAACUACUGGAAACGGUAGCUAAUACCGCAUGACCUCGCAAGAGCAAAGUGGGGGACCUUCGGGCCUCACGCCAUCGGAUGUGCCCAGAUGGGAUUAGCUAGUAGGUGAGGUAAUGGCUCACCUAGGCGACGAUCCCUAGCCGGUCUGAGAGGAUGACCAGCCACACUGGAACUGAGACACGGUCCAGACUCCUACGGGAGGCAGCAGUGGGGAAUAUUGCACAAUGGGCGCAAGCCUGAUGCAGCCAUGCCGCGUGUGUGAAGAAGGCCUUCGGGUUGUAAAGCACUUUCAGCGAGGAGGAAGGGUUCAGUGUUAAUAGCACUGUGCAUUGACGUUACUCGCAGAAGAAGCACCGGCUAACUCCGUGCCAGCAGCCGCGGUAAUACGGAGGGUGCAAGCGUUAAUCGGAAUUACUGGGCGUAAAGCGCACGCAGGCGGUUUGUUAAGUCAGAUGUGAAAUCCCCGAGCUUAACUUAGGAACUGCAUUUGAAACUGGCAAGCUAGAGUCUUGUAGAGGGGGGUAGAAUUCCAGGUGUAGCGGUGAAAUGCGUAGAGAUCUGGAGGAAUACCGGUGGCGAAGGCGGCCCCCUGGACAAAGACUGACGCUCAGGUGCGAAAGCGUGGGGAGCAAACAGG